UGUUUUUCUUCUGUUCCCCUCACCAAAGCCUUCCUCUGGUCUUCCCAACAAAGGCUACUGCCGUCACUGCUGCUGGUGGCUACCCCCGACCUUGCGCCGCUGUAGGCUGUGCUCAAACCCUGUUUUUCUUCUGUUCCCCUCACCAAAGCCUUCCUCUGGUCUUCCGAACAAAGGCUACUGCCGUCGCUGCUGCUGGUGGCUACCCCCGCCGUGACCCGUGAGGUUGCUGCUGUCCCAACGCCUCUCCUCUCAGUGGUCGUUGCCGGGCAGUGCUGGCUGCUGGGCGUCGUUGUUGCUAGCGGUAAACCCUGAGGACGGCAUGCAUGGGAGUCUUGGGAGUAGCAUCACCACCCUGUUCACUACACGAAACUCACAUAUAUUGUACUUUAGGACCAUGUUUUGAGAACCUAGUAUAGUUUAUACUUUGCUAAGCUUGGUGGUUUGUCCUGAAGUUUGGAAGUUGCCCUUUUCGUUUGCGUGUCUUACUUAGCUCUUCCUAAGUCUUAUGUUAUCGCUGGUGUUCUCGGUUAUGGUAGUGUAGCUUGGUGCUCUACACUUAUGUUAUGUUCCUUGUGUUAUAUAAUUAUAUGAAUUGCA